rnacentral:rRNA from 1 species
AACGAACGCUGGCGGCAUGCCUAACACAUGCAAGUCGAACGAUGCCUUCGGGCAUAGUGGCGCACGGGUGCGUAACGCGUGGGAAUCUGCCCUUGGCUUCGGAAUAACAGUUAGAAAUGACUGCUAAUACCGGAUGAUGUCUUCGGACCAAAGAUUUAUCGGCCAGGGAUGAGCCCGCGUAGGAUUAGGUAGUUGGUGGGGUAAAGGCCUACCAAGCCGACGAUCCUUAGCUGGUCUGAGAGGAUGAUCAGCCACACUGGGACUGAGACACGGCCCAGACUCCUACGGGAGGCAGCAGUGGGGAAUAUUGGACAAUGGGGGGAACCCUGAUCCAGCAAUGCCGCGUGAGUGAUGAAGGCCUUAGGGUUGUAAAGCUCUUUUACCAGGGAUGAUAAUGACAGUACCUGGAGAAUAAGCUCCGGCUAACUCCGUGCCAGCCGCCGCGGUAAUAC